rnacentral:rRNA from 1 species
ACGGGUGAGUAAUGUAUCGGAACGUGCCCAGUAGCGGGGGAUAACUACGCGAAAGCGUGGCUAAUACCGCAUACGCCCUACGGGGGAAAGGGGGGGAUCGCAAGACCUCCCACUAUUGGAGCGGCCGAUAUCGGAUUAGCUAGUUGGUGGGGUAAAGGCCUACCAAGGCGACGAUCCGUAGCUGGUUUGAGAGGACGACCAGCCACACUGGGACUGAGACACGGCCCAGACUCCUACGGGAGGCAGCAGUGGGGAAUUUUGGACAAUGGGGGCAACCCUGAUCCAGCCAUCCCGCGUGUGCGAUGAAGGCCUUCGGGUUGUAAAGCACUUUUGGCAGGGAAGAAACGGCACCUUUUAAUACAGGGUGUCACUGACGGUACCUGCAGAAUAAGCACCGGCUAACUACGCGCCAGCAGCCGCGGUAAUACGUAGGGUGCAAGCGUUAAUCGGAAUUACUGGGCGUAAAGCGUGCGCAGGCGGUUCGGAAAGAAAGAUGUGAAAUCCCAGGGCUCAACCUUGGAACGGCAUUUUUAACUCCCGAGCUAGAGUAUGUCAGAGGGGGGUAGAAUUCCAC